GACGAACGCUGGCGGCGUGCUUGACACAUGCAAGUCGAACGGAAAGGCCUGCUUUCCCUUGUGGAUUGCGGGUACUCGAGUGGCGAACGGGUGAGUAACACGUGAGUGAUCUGCCCCCGACUUGGGUAUAAGCCUGGGAAACUGGGUCUAAUUCCCGAUAGGACUGCAGGGUGGUGCCUGUGGUGGAAAACGAUUUUCUAGUGGUUGGGGAUGAGCUCGCGGCCUAUCAGCUUGUUGGUGGGGUAAUGGCCUACCAAGGCGGCGACGGGUAGCCGGCCUGAGAGGGUGGACGGCCACAUUGGGACUGAGAUACGGCCCAGACUCCUACGGGAGGCAGCAGUGGGGAAUAUUGCACAAUGGGCGGAAGCCUGAUGCAGCGACGCCGCGUGGGGGAUGACGGCCUUCGGGUUGUAAACUCCUUUCGACCGCGAGGAAGCCACCUGGUUGGAAGGGUGGUGACGGUAGUGGUAGAAGAAGCACCGGCUAACUACGUG
rnacentral:rRNA from 1 species